AUUGAACGCUGGCGGCAUGCCUUACACAUGCAAGUCGAACGGCAGCACGGGAGCAAUCCUGGUGGCGAGUGGCGAACGGGUGAGUAAUAUAUCGGAACGUGCCCAGUCGUGGGGAUAACGCAGCGAAAGCUGUGCUAAUACCGCAUACGAUCUAUGGAUGAAAGCGGGGGAUCGCAAGGCCUCGCGCGAUUGGAGCGGCCGAUAUCAGAUUAGCUAGUUGGUGAGGUAAAGGCUCACCAAGGCGACGAUCUGUAGCUGGUCUGAGAGGACGACCAGCCACACUGGAACUGAGACACGGUCCAGACUCCUACGGGAGGCAGCAGUGGGGAAUUUUGGACAAUGGGCGAAAGCCUGAUCCAGCAAUGCCGCGUGCAGGAUGAAGGCCUUCGGGUUGUAAACUGCUUUUGUACGGAACGAAACGGUGAGCUCUAAUACAGUUUGCUAAUGACGGUACCGUAAGAAUAAGCACCGGCUAACUACGUGCCAGCAGCCGCAGUAA
rnacentral:rRNA from 1 species